UGCACACCUGUAAUCCCAGCUAUUCGGCUGAGGCACGAGAAUCAUUUGAACCCAGGACACGGAGAUUGCAGUGAGCCAAGAUCACACCACUGCACUCCAGCCUGGGCAACAGAACGAGAUUCUGUCUUAAAUGAAUGAGUGAAUGAAUGAAGUGAAUUACAAAAAAUUUUAAAAUACAAACCAAAUGUUUUGUUAAAUUCAACAGACAUAAUUAUGUGUCAGCUGCAUGCAGUGGCUCAUGCCUGUAAUCCCAACACUUUGGGAGGAAUUACAGGGACCAGGAGUUUGAGACUAGCUUGGCCAACAUAGUGAAACCCCAUCUCUACCAAAAAAUAUAAAAAUUAGCCAAGUAUGGUGGCAUAUGCCUAUAUUCUAGCUACUCAGGAGGCUGAGAUGGGAGAGUCGCUUAAACCCAGGAGGUGGAGGUUGAAAUGAGCUGAGAUCAUGCCACUGCACUCCAGCCCAGGUGACAGAGGGAGACUCUCUCAAAGAAAAAGGAAAAAAAAUUACUGUGUCUAAUUUCUAUAAAAUUUUUUUUUUUACUUAUUCUCAAUUUCUGUACUUGUGGAUCAGUAGCAAACUUCAUGGACUGGCAUCAGUAUGAAUGACAUUUGAGUAGCACUGUUUGGUGUGCAGCAUACUAGAGUAGUGAGAGAAGGAAACAUCUGUGGACAUUGUAUCAACUGGGAGGCCACCGAACAUUUUGUCAUGUUUGUUGAAUAACUUAUGCAGCCUCAGGCAGCCUGUCAGGGCAGUGGUGUGGCAAAGCCAUAAUAUUUGUAUGGGGCUCAUUCUACUGAGAGGCAUAUCUGCUGUUCUGAUAGUGUAGUCUCCUCCAUUUUUCCUCCAGCACUCUGCUCUUUGGGAGGCACUGCAGGGUGGCUGUGACUUUGGUCAGGUGUAGCUUAUGUUUGGCCAUCUCUUGGUUGAUCCAGUUUAUUUGUCUUAGUUUCAGUGAUGGCCAGAGGGUUACAAAGGAUUUGGAAUGGAGCAUGUCUCAGGGUGAUGUGAACUCUGUUGUUGCCUGGAUUUCCAGAUCAUGUGACAGAGAAUCAGCUGGAUCAUUUCAGCUGUCCAGGUUAUCAGUUAGAAUAAAGUUUUUAAAAACUAAAAUCUUGGGAGCAAGGAGGCCUCUCUGAUGUAAAGAAAGAUGAGUAGACUGGUUUAUCCCUUCUAUGCAGUUAGUACAUGAGAGUACCCUGGUCCUUUAAGAGCCAGAGUUCUUUGGGGUUUUUGUUUGUUUUCCCCCAUUAAAAAGCACUAGCAUUUAUUAGGGGAAAAUGAGGUUCUCCUCAACUCAUGUUUUCCCUCUCUGUAUUGUGGAAAAUCUGAACCUCACUCUGAAAGUGAAUACAUCCAUUUGAAAGGGAUGGCAGGUUACCAAGAGUGUCAUUUAAUGAAACCCCUCUUUUUCUUGACCAAAAGAGACCUUGUUUUCUUUGAGAAGCAGGAGUUCACUUUAAUUUUUAUGAACAUCUCACACCACUUCCACCUAACCCUACCUACUGUAAUAUGGGCUGGCCUGUCAAGUCUUGGGCAAGAAUAGUGAUAAGAUGCUAUCAGGUCAGAACCCAUAUUGUUAGAGUAGCUGAAAGAUUCAGGAGUUCUUAUUUUGAACUCUUGCAUGUAGAAUCAUUACAAGAUGUCUCUUAAAUGCAGUUAGAGUGAGAGGAAAGCUGGAGCUGUGGGUGGGGAACAUGUCAGAGGUGGGGCUCAGCAGGAAGUGGGACCAGUGCCUGCUGGAUGUGGUAGAUAAGUACCGGUUUUGGAUUAGGGAUUGUUUUCUCACUUACCUUCUUUAAAAAAAGAAUGUGGCCAUUAGCCUUUGGUUCUGGCAUGGCAUUAGGAAUGGCUUAUUCCAGCAGUCAGCAUGAUUUCCAGGUUCCAUGUCUUCUACAUGGAAAACAUGUCAAAGGACAGGAGCAGUGACCACCUGACAACAUCGCAGUGGGAGGAAAAGAGAAAUCAUGUUUAUUCCUCAGGAAUGCUGAAGUACCCUGGAGUAAGCUGUCAUUCUUAUUAUAACAAUGUUAUUAGUAAUGCUUUAAACUCCAGCACACUUGUUAUGUAUUUGAAACCAAGUCUGUUUCUUGUUUUGUAUUUUCUCUCUGGAAAUUGUAAGGCGGUGGUCUUAAAUACAUUAAACAAAAAUAGGAAAAAAAGCAGUUAAAAUUUGAUGGCAUAUCAGCCAGCUGACCCAAUUCUUGGCACAGUCAACAAGUAUCUUUGAUUUGUUUUCAGCAGGGCUAAGUCAUCAGAUAUGUCAGAAGGGGUAAAAAAAAAAAAA